ACCGGCCACCUGGACUGAGACCGGCCCAGAUUCUACGGAAGCAGCAGUGGGAAUUUGCACAAUGGCGCAAGCCUGAUGCAGCGACGCCGCGUGAGGGAUGACGGCCUUCGGGUUGUAAACCUCUUUCAGCAGGGAGAAGCGAAAGUGACGGUACCUGCAGAAGAAGCGCCGGCUAACUACGUGCCAGCAGCCGCGGUAAUACGUAGGGCGCGAGCGUUGUCCGGAAUUAUUGGGCGUAAAGAGCUUGUAGGCGGUUUGUCGCGUCUGCUGUGAAAGCCCGGGGCUUAACCCCGGGUUUGCAGUGGGUACGGGCAGACUAGAGUGCAGUAGGGGAGACUGGAAUUCCUGGUGUAGCGGUGAAAUGCGCAGAUAUCAGGAGGAACACCAAUGGCGAAGGCAGGUCUCUGGGCUGUAACUGACGCUGAGAAGCGAAAGCAUGGGGAGCGAACAGGAUUAGAUACCCUGGUAGUCCAUGCCGUAAACGUUGGGCACUAGGUGUGGGGAACAUUCCACGUUUUCCGCGCCGUAGCUAACGCAUUAAGUGCCCCGCCUGGGGAGUACGGCCGCAAGGCUAAAACUCAAAGAAAUUGACGGGGGCCCGCACAAGCGGCGGAGCAUGCGGAUUAAUUCGAUGCAACGCGAAGAACCUUACCAAGGCUUGACAUAUACUGGACCGCUCUAGAGAUAGAGUUUCCCUUUUAGGGCUGGUAUACAGGUGGUGCAUGGUUGUCGUCAGCUCGUGUCGUGAGAUGUUGGGUUAAGUCCCGCAACGAGCGCAACCCUCGUUCUAUGUUGCCAGCACGUAAUGGUGGGGACUCAUAGGAGACUGCCGGGGUUAACUCGGAGGAAGGUGGGGAUGACGUCAAAUCAUCAUGCCCCUUAUGUCUUGGGCUUCACGCAUGCUACAAUGGCCGGUACAAAGGGUUGCGAUACUGUGAGGUUGAGCUAAUCCCAAAAAGCCGGUCUCAGUUCGGAUUGGGGUCUGCAACUCGACCCCAUGAAGUCGGAGUCGCUAGUAAUCGCAGAUCAGCAACGCUGCGGUGAAUACGUUCCCGGGCCUUGUACACACCGCCCGUCAAGUCACGAAAGUUGGUAACACCCGAAGCCGAUGGCCUAACCCCUUGUGGAGGGAGUCGUCGAAG
rnacentral:rRNA from 1 species